rnacentral:rRNA from 1 species
GGUUAAGCGACUAAGCGUACACGGUGGAUGCCCUGGCAGUCAGAGGCGAUGAAGGACGUGCUAAUCUGCGAUAAGCGUCGGUAAGGUGAUAUGAACCGUUAUAACCGGCGAUUUCCGAAUGGGGAAACCCAGUGUGAUCCGUCACACUAUCAUUACGUGAAUACAUAGCGUAAUGAAGCGAACCGGGGGAACUGAAACAUCUAAGUACCCCGAGGAAAAGAAAUCAACCGAGAUUCCCCCAGUAGCGGCGAGCGAACGGGGAGCAGCCCAGAGUCUGAAUCAGCUUGUGUGUUAGUGGAACGGUCUGGAAAGUCCGACGGUACAGGGUGAUAGUCCCGUACACCAAAAUGCACAGGUUGUGAACUCGAAGAGUAGGGCGGGACACGUGGUAUCCUGUCUGAAUAUGGGGGGACCAUCCUCCAAGGCUAAAUACUCCUGACUGACCGAUAGUGAACCAGUACCGUGAGGGAAAGGCGAAAAGAACCCCGGCGAGGGGAGUGAAAAAGAACCUGAAACCGUGUACGUACAAGCAGUGGGAGCCUACUUGUUAGGUGACUGCGUACCUUUUGUAUAAUGGGUCAGCGACUUAUAUUCUGUAGCAAGGUUAACCGUAUAGGGGAGCCGAAGGGAAACCGAGUCUUAACUGGGCGUUAAGUUGCAGGGUAUAGACCCGAAACCCGGUGAUCUAGCCAUGGGCAGGUUGAAGGUUGGGUAACACUAACUGGAGGACCGAACCGACUAAUGUUGAAAAAUUAGCGGAUGACUUGUGGCUGGGGGUGAAAGGCCAAUCAAACCGGGAGAUAGCUGGUUCUCCCCGAAAGCUAUUUAGGUAGCGCCUCGUGAACUCAUCUUCGGGGGUAGAGCACUGUUUCGGCUAGGGGGUCAUCCCGACUUACCAACCCGAUGCAAACUGCGAAUACCGAAGAAUGUUAUCACGGGAGACACACGGCGGGUGCUAACGUCCGUCGUGAAGAGGGAAACAACCCAGACCGCCAGCUAAGGUCCCAAAGUCAUGGUUAAGUGGGAAACGAUGUGGGAAGGCACAGACAGCCAGGAUGUUGGCUUAGAAGCAGCCAUCAUUUAAAGAAAGCGUAAUAGCUCACUGGUCGAGUCGGCCUGCGCGGAAGAUGUAACGGGGCUAAACCAUGCACCGAAGCUGCGGCAGCGACACUAUGUGUUGUUGGGUAGGGGAGCGUUCUGUAAGCCGUUGAAGGUGUAUCGUGAGGUAUGCUGGAGGUAUCAGAAGUGCGAAUGCUGACAUAAGUAACGAUAAUGCGGGUGAAAAACCCGCACGCCGGAAGACCAAGGGUUCCUGUCCAACGUUAAUCGGGGCAGGGUGAGUCGACCCCUAAGGCGAGGCCGAAAGGCGUAGUCGAUGGGAAACAGGUUAAUAUUCCUGUACUUGGUGUUACUGCGAAGGGGGGACGGAGAAGGCUAUGUUAGCCGGGCGACGGUUGUCCCGGUUUAAGCAUGUAGGCGGAGGUUCCAGGUAAAUCCGGUACCUUUUAACGCUGAGGUGUGAUGACGAGGCACUACGGUGCUGAAGUAACAAAUGCCCUGCUUCCAGGAAAAGCCUCUAAGCAUCAGGUAACACGAAAUCGUACCCCAAACCGACACAGGUGGUCAGGUAGAGAAUACCAAGGCGCUUGAGAGAACUCGGGUGAAGGAACUAGGCAAAAUGGUGCCGUAACUUCGGGAGAAGGCACGCUGAUAUGUAGGUGAAGUGAUUUACUCAUGGAGCUGAAAUCAGUCGAAGAUACCAGCUGGCUGCAACUGUUUAUUAAAAACACAGCACUGUGCAAACACGAAAGUGGACGUAUACGGUGUGACGCCUGCCCGGUGCCGGAAGGUUAAUUGAUGGGGUUAUCCGUAAGGAGAAGCUCUUGAUCGAAGCCCCGGUAAACGGCGGCCGUAACUAUAACGGUCCUAAGGUAGCGAAAUUCCUUGUCGGGUAAGUUCCGACCUGCACGAAUGGCGUAAUGAUGGCCAGGCUGUCUCCACCCGAGACUCAGUGAAAUUGAACUCGCUGUGAAGAUGCAGUGUACCCGCGGCAAGACGGAAAGACCCCGUGAACCUUUACUAUAGCUUGACACUGAACACUGGUCCUUGAUGUGUAGGAUAGGUGGGAGGCUUUGAAGUGUGGACGCCAGUCUGCAUGGAGCCAUCCUUGAAAUACCACCCUUUAAUGGCUGGUGUUCUAACGUGGACCCGUAAUCCGGGUUGCGGACAGUGUCUGGUGGGUAGUUUGACUGGGGCGGUCUCCUCCUAAAGAGUAACGGAGGAGCACGAAGGUUAGCUAAUCCUGGUCGGACAUCAGGAGGUUAGUGCAAAGGCAUAAGCUAGCUUGACUGCGAGAGUGACGGCUCGAGCAGGUGCGAAAGCAGGUCUUAGUGAUCCGGUGGUUCUGAAUGGAAGGGCCAUCGCUCAACGGAUAAAAGGUACUCCGGGGAUAACAGGCUGAUACCGCCCAAGAGUUCAUAUCGACGGCGGUGUUUGGCACCUCGAUGUCGGCUCAUCACAUCCUGGGGCUGAAGUAGGUCCCAAGGGUAUGGCUGUUCGCCAUUUAAAGUGGUACGCGAGCUGGGUUUAGAACGUCGUGAGACAGUUCGGUCCCUAUCUGCCGUGGGCGCUGGAGAAUUGAGGGGGGCUGCUCCUAGUACGAGAGGACCGGAGUGGACGCAUCACUGGUGUUCGGGUUGUCAUGCCAAUGGCAUUGCCCGGUAGCUAAAUGCGGAAGAGAUAAGUGCUGAAAGCAUCUAAGCACGAAACUUGCCCCGAGAUGAGUUCUCCCUGAGACUUUAAGUCUCCUGAAGGAACGUUAAAGACGAUGACGUUGAUAGGUCGGGUGUGUAAGUGUAGCGAUACAUUGAGCUAACCGAUACUAAUGAACCGUGAGGCUUAACCUU